UACGUAGGGUGCAAGCGUUAUCCGGAAUUAUUUGGGCGUAAAGAGCUCGUAGGCGGUUUGUCGCGUCUGCUGUGAAAACUGGAGGCUCAACCUCCAGCCUGCAGUGGGUACGGGCAGACUAGAGUGCGGGUAGGGGAGAUUGGAAUUCCUGGUGUAGCGGUGGAAUGCGCAGAUAUCAGGAGGAACACCGAUGGCGAAGGCAGAUCUCUGGGCCGUAACUGACGCUGAGGAGCGAAAGCUGGGGGAGCGAACAGG
rnacentral:rRNA from 1 species